AUGUUACCUGGUUGUCCUGCCCAGUAGUCAUAUGCUUGUCUCAAAGAUUAA
rnacentral:rRNA from 1 species